AUUGAACGCUGGCGGCAGGCCUAACACAUGCAAGUCGAGCGAGCGGCGGACGGGUGAGUAAUAUCUGGGAAACUGCCUGAUGGAGGGGGAUAACUACUGGAAACGGUAGCUAAUACCGCAUACCAUCAGAUGUGCCCAGAUGGGAUUAGCUAGUAGGUGGGGUAACGGCUCACCUAGACGACGAUCCCUAUGUGGUCUGAGAGGAUGACCAGCCACACUGGAACUGAGACACGGUCCAGACUCCAACGGGAGGCAGCAUUGGGGAAUAUUGCACAAUGGGCGCAAGCCUGAUGCAGCUAUGCCGCGUGUAUGAAGAAGGCCUUCGGGGUGUAAAGCACUUUCAGCGGGGAGGCGUUACUCGCAGAAGAAGCACCGGCUAACUCCGUGCCAGCAGCCGCGGUAAUUC
rnacentral:rRNA from 1 species